GAUGAAGAACGCAGCGAAAUGCGAUAAGUUAUGUGAAUUGCAGAAUUCAGUGAAUCAUCGAAUCUUUGAACGCACAUUGCGCCCCCUGGUAUUCCGGGGGGCAUGCCUGUUCGAGCGUCAUUUCACCACUCAAGCCUCGCUUGGUAUUGGGCAACGCGGUCCGCCGCGUGCCUCAAAUCGACCGGCUGGGUCUUCUGUCCCCUAAGCGUUGUGGAAACUUUCGCUAAAGGGUGUUCGGGAGGCUACGCCGUAAAACAACCCCAUUUCUAAGGUUGACCUCGGAUCAGGUAGGGAUACCCGCUGAACUUAAGCAUAUCAAUAAGCGGAGGA
rnacentral:misc_RNA from 1 species